UACGUAGGGUGCGAGCGUUAAUCGGAAUUACUGGGCGUAAAGCGUGCGCAGGCGGUUUUGUAAGCCAGAUGUGAAAUCCCCGGGCUUAACCUGGGAAUGGCAUUUGGGACUGCAAGGCUUGAGUGCGGCAGAGGAGACUGGAAUUCCUGGUGUAGCAGUGAAAUGCGUAGAUAUCAGGAGGAAUACCGAUGGCGAAGGCAGGUCUCUGGGCUGAGAUUGACGCUCAGGCACGAAAGCGUGGGGAGCAAACAGGAAUUAG
rnacentral:rRNA from 1 species